GGAUUAUUUUAAAUUCAAUUUCUGCCAAUAGAUCCCUUUCACCUAAAUCUUACACACUGGACCUUUAAAAACCUGAAAAAUCAUGAAGCUUUUUCAGGGACUAAGAAACUGGUUAACUUCCAGCAGUAAUGCAAUGAAUUCCCACAACUUUCCCAUAACCGGACAUGAUGCUUGUUUCACUGUUUAGUUUACUAUGAGGGUAACUGUUACGCUUAGGUUACGCUACAAGGAAAAGAGUGCUGGCCUUCAAAAUUGAUUUAAUGAUUGGUUGAUCCAGCUGUCACUUCCUAAACAAACUCACACUGCAAUGACCUUCUGUACGGUACUGAAAUCCUAACCAUAGACUGUAUAUAAAAGAUCAACGUAGCUUCCGGUUCUAAAAGAAGAAGCCUAUGCGGAAGUGCUUAAAGAGAGAGAGAGAGAGAGAGGGUUUAAGGCCUGUUCUUCAGUAACAACAGACAAAGAGGAGCUGAUGUCUCCAGUUUGUUCGAGGCAGAAGGACUGAAGGUUUAGUUGAUGAUGACGUGAAACAACUGGACCUCAUCCAACUAUCAGAUGACUGGUGUCAACAGAAGGAAGACCUCAUGUAUGGAGCAGAAUAUUUGGUGCCAUUCUUCAGGGUGUGGAGGAGAGAGACUGGAUAACAACAUCCUUAAUUCUUUAAUGAGAUGUGAUGAUGAUGUCAAUAAACCACCCUCAGUUUCUUCUGAGAUGACAGACCAACAGAA